rnacentral:rRNA from 1 species
UACGUAGGGUGCAGGCGUUAAUCGGAAUUACUGGGCGUAAAGCGUGCGCAGGCGGUCUUUUAAGUCAGAUGUGAAAUCCCCGGGCUUAACCUGGGAACUGCGUUUGAAACUGGAAGGCUUGAGUGUGGCAGAGGUGGGUGGAAUUCCACGUGUAGCAGUGAAAUGCGUAGAUAUGUGGAGGAACACCGAUGGCGAAGGCAGCCCCCUGGGCUAACACUGACGCUCAUGCACGAAAGCGUGGGGAGCAAACAGG